ACAGCUCAGAUUUGAAAUCCGGCCCCAGGCCCGAGUUGUAAUCUGCAGAUGGGCUUCCGGGUUAGGGGCGGCGUCCAAGUUCCCUGGAAUGGGACGCCGUGGAGGGUGAGAGCCCCGUACAGGCGUCCGCCCCGCCCAUUUGAGGCCCAUUCGGAGAGUCGAGUAGCUUGGGAAUGCUGCUCUAAAGGGAGGUAAAUCUCUUCCAAAGCUAAAUACCGGCCAGAGACCGAUAGCGAACAAGUAGCGCGAGCGAAAGAUGAAUAGAACUCUGAAAAGAGAGUUAAACAGCAUGUGAAAUCGUUGAAAGGGAAGCGGCCCCGACCAGACUCGCGCCGGUUGAUCAACCAGGGUUCUCCCUGGGGCACUCUGCCGGCUCGGGCCAGCAUCAGUUCGCCGCGGGGUCAAAGGCCCCGGGAACGUGGCCCUUCGGGGUGUUAUAGCCCGGCGGCGUAAUGCCCCGUGGCGGACUGAGGAUCCGCGCUCUGCAUGGAUGCUGGCGUAAUGGUCGGUACCGACCCGUCUUGAAACACGGACCAAGGAGUUGACCUAGUGUGCGAGUGUACGGGUGUCAAAGCCCUGGCGCGGAAUGAAAGUGAACGUAGGUGGGAGCUUCGGCGCACCACCGACCGAUCCCGAGGUCUUCCGACGGAUUUGAGUAGGAGCACACUGGGUCUGACCCGAAAGAAGGUGAACUAUGCGUGGAUAGGGUGAAGCCAGAGGAAACUCUGGUGGAGGCUCGCAGCGGUUCUGACGUGCAAAUCGAUCGUCAAAUCUGCGCAU
rnacentral:rRNA from 1 species